AGCAUAUCAAUAAGCGGAGGAAAAGAAACCAACAGGGAUUGCCCUAGUAACGGCGAGUGAAGCGGCAACAGCUCAAAUUUGAAAUCUGGCUCUUUUAGGGUCCGAGUUGUAAUUUGCAGAGGGCGCUUUGGCUUUGGCAGCGGUCCAAGUUCCUUGGAACAGGACGUCACAGAGGGUGAGAAUCCCGUACGUGGUCGCUAGCUAUUGCCGUGUAAAGCCCCUUCGACGAGUCGAGUUGUUUGGGAAUGCAGCUCUAAAUGGGAGGUAAAUUUCUUCUAAAGCUAAAUAUUGGCCAGAGACCGAUAGCGCACAAGUAGAGUGAUCGAAAGAUGAAAAGCACUUUGGAAAGAGAGUCAAACAGCACGUGAAAUUGUUGAAAGGGAAGCGCUUGCAGCCAGACUUGCUUGCAGUUGCUCAUCCGGGCUUUUGCCCGGUGCACUCUUCUGUAGGCAGGCCAGCAUCAGUUUGGGCGGUGGGAUAAAGGUCUCUGUCACGUACCUCUCUUCGGGGAGGCCUUAUAGGGGAGACGACAUACCACCAGCCUAGACUGAGGUCCGCGCAUCUGCUAGGAUGCUGGCGUAAUGGCUGUAAGCGGCCCGUCUUGAAACACGGACCAAGGAGUCUAACUCUAUGCGAGUUUGUGGG
rnacentral:rRNA from 1 species